rnacentral:rRNA from 1 species
GGGGAAUUUUGGACAAUGGGCGCAAGCCUGAUCCAGCCAUGCCGCGUGAGUGAAGAAGGCCUUCGGGUUGUAAAGCUCUUUCGGCCGGGAAGAAAUCGCAUUCUCUAAUAUAGGAUGCGGAUGACGGUACCGGACUAAGAAGCACCGGCUAACUACGUGCCAGCAGCCGCGGUAAUACGUAGGGUGCGAGCGUUAAUCGGAAUUACUGGGCGUAAAGCGUGCGCAGGCGGUUUUGUAAGACAGAUGUGAAAUCCCCGGGCUUAACCUGGGAACUGCGUUUGUGACUGCAAGGCUAGAGUACGGCAGAGGGGGGUGGAAUUCCUGGUGUAGCAGUGAAAUGCGUAGAUAUCAGGAGGAACACCGAUGGCGAAGGCAGCCCCCUGGGCCUGUACUGACGCUCAUGCACGAAAGCGUGGGGAGCAAAC